GAUGAAGAACGUAGCGAAAUGCGAUAAGUAAUGUGAAUUGCAGAAUUCAGUGAAUCAUCGAAUCUUUGAACGCACAUUGCGCCCGCCAGUAUUCUGGCGGGCAUGCCUGUUCGAGCGUCAUUUCAACCCUCAGGCCCCCAGUGCCUGGUGUUGGGGAUCGGCCCAGCCUUCCUGUAAGGCCGCCGGCCCCGAAAUCUAGUGGCGGUCUCGCUGUAGUCCUCCUCUGCGUAGUAGCACAACCUCGCAGUUGGAACGCGGCGGUGGCCAUGCCGUUAAACACCCCACUUCUGAAAGUUGACCUCGGAUCAGGUAGGAAUACCCGCUGAACUUAAGCAUAUCAAUAACGAGGA
rnacentral:misc_RNA from 1 species